UACGUAGGGUGCGAGCGUUGUCCGGAAUUAUUGGGCGUAAAGAGCUUGUAGGCGGUCUGUCGCGUCUGCUGUGAAAAUCCGGGGCUCAACUCCGGAUCUGCGGUGGGUACGGGCAGACUAGAGUGAUGUAGGGGGGACUGGAAUUCCUGGUGUAGCGGUGAAAUGCGCAGAUAUCAGGAGGAACACCGAUGGCGAAGGCAGGUCUCUGGGCAUUAACUGACGCUGAGGAGCGAAAGCGUGGGGAGCAAACAGG
rnacentral:rRNA from 1 species